GAUGAACGCUGGCGGCGUGCCUAAUACAUGCAAGUCGAGCGAACGGACGAGAAGCCUGCUUUUCUGAUGUUAGCGGCGGACGGGUGAGUAACACGUGGAUAAUCUACCUAUAAGACUGGGAUAACUUCGGGAAACCGGAGCUAAUAGCGGAUAAUAUUUUGAACCGCAUGGUUCAAAAGUGAAAGACGGUCUUGCUGUCACGUAUAGAUGGAUCCGCGCUGCAUUAGCUAGUUGGUAAGGUAACGGCUUACCAAGGCAACGAUGCAUAGCCGACCUGAGAGGGUGAUCGGCCACCCUGGAACUGAGACACGGUCCAGACUCCUACGGGAGGCAGCAGUAGGGAAUCUUCCGCAAUGGGCGAAAGCCUGACGGAGCAACGCCGCGUGAGUGAUGAAGGUCUUCGGAUCGUAAAACUCUGUUAUUAGGGAAGAACAUAUGUGUAAGUAACUGUGCACAUCUUGACGGUACCUAAUCAGAAAGCCGCGGCUAACUACGUG
rnacentral:rRNA from 1 species